GGGGCCGACUGGUUUUGACAGCAUAGGGCAGGGUAAGUAAGCAUGUCGUGCGUUGGAUAAUUAGCACGUAAAUCUGAAUAUUCAACUUUUGACUGGCGAAUCUAAUUACGCCAUGGCUGCCUAAUUAAUUUAGCGCAACCAUUAUGGCCGCGGAUGGCUUUGGCCUGUUGACGUCACCGCCGCCUAACUCAACUCUCAAUAGGAUAGCCUCGUGAUGCUGCGCUCGCUUGGCGAAAUUCAAAGCAGAUAGGAAGUUUGUAGGUUUGUCCCGUUCCGGCUCUCUUCCGAAAUCAAAUUCAGGAAUACACAUGUAGAAAGCUUAUUGGGCAUAUGUUUGGACGCGGGUUCGAAUCCCGCCGGUUCCACUC
rnacentral:tmRNA from 1 species